rnacentral:rRNA from 1 species
CUGACAUUGAGGUGCGAAAGCGUGGGUAGCAANCAGGAUUAGAUACCCUGGUAGUCCACGCCGUAAACGAUGUCAACUAGCCGUUGGGUCCCUUGAGGACUUAGUGGCGCAGCUAACGCAAUAAGUUGACCGCCUGGGGAGUACGGCCGCAAGGUUAAAACUCAAAUGAAUUGACGGGGGCCCGCACAAGCGGUGGAGCAUGUGGUUUAAUUCGAUGCAACGCGAAGAACCUUACCUACCCUUGACAUCCAGAGGACUUUCCAGAGAUGGAUUGGUGCCUUCGGGAACUCUGAGACAGGUGCUGCAUGGCUGUCGUCAGCUCGUGUUGUGAAAUGUUGGGUUAAGUCCCGUAACGAGCGCAACCCCUAUCCUUAUUUGCCAGCGAGUAAUGUCGGGAACUCUAAGGAGACUGCCGGUGACAAACCGGAGGAAGGUGGGGACGACGUCAAGUCAUCAUGGCCCUUACGGGUAGGGCUACACACGUGCUACAAUGGCAAGUACAAAGGGUUGCAAUACGGCGACGUGGAGCCAAUCCCAUAAAGCUUGCCUCAGUCCGGAUUGGAGUCUGCAACUCGACUCCAUGAAGUCGGAAUCGCUAGUAAUCGUGGAUCAGAAUGCCACGGUGAAUACGUUCCCGGGCCUUGUACACACCGCCCGUCACACCAUGGGAGUGGACUGCACCAGAAGUGGUUAGCCUAACCUUCGGGAGGGCGUCACCUCGUUGUC